GGACUGAUUACGCUGAACAGACCAGCUGGGCAAACGUCACCUUCCUCUCUCAUGGUUCCACAUGUGUCCUUCUUCAAGCUGUGCACUCCAUCGAAGAGGACAACUUUCCCUAAUAGAGGAAGACUACUUUUUCAGUCAAGAGUUUAAAGUAGCUGUGCUUCCUUGCUAGAUCCUCCAAACAAACUCACGAGAUACCUCAGGGGGCGACUACUCCCAGUUUUCACCUUGUACAACAUG
rnacentral:sRNA from 1 species